UGGGUACUGCCAGCCCCCUCCAGGGCAGGAAUGAUGGUAUCUGAGGGGGGCUCCUGCCUUGAAGCAGGGCUGGGUGGCCUGGACCAUGCUGCAUUUGAAAAAUCAGGUUAACUGGGGUCCACUUUGCGCUGACCAAAGUGGUCAUCCUUUGGGGCACAGUUAGGUGCGCUGUGCAGACUCAGCUCUGUGGCCACAGUCACCAUGUCGCCCUGGAAACCACCCCAAGACCCUGGACCUCACGCUCAGACCCUGAACUGGCUCCUGAACUCAGCCUGCAGGUGACAUGUAGUUGUGUAGGGGUUGCAAGCACCAGUAGUUGGUCUGUCCAUGCCCAGCGGGCUUGCAGCGGGGGCCUUGCUUGUUUCCAAAGGCUGAAUUCACGGAAGGCACUGGGAUUCGUAGUCUAGAGAGCAGACCCUGUGCCCAGUGCCCCGGGGAGGCAGUGGAGCUCCCGGGUACCACAUGUUGGGGCAGCCACCAGGGGAACCACGUGGUAGCUUCUUCCAGAAUGAAGCCUACCAUGACGUCCGUGCCAUCCACAGUAAAACAGAAUUCACAGCAGCAGCCCAGGCGGCCUUCGUCGGCAGGCCAGCCAGAGAAAGCCGCACUGCUCACUGACCCCUGCCCGGUCCCACGGGAUGCUGCUGCUCCUGAGCUGACACCAUCCCCCCCAGCCUCACCGUGCCGCCAAUGGUCUCUGCCCACCCUUCCUGGGUGGCCUGCUCCCCUGUGGAUGGGUGCUACCCUGCCUUCUGGCUCCGGGACCCUGUGUCACACCUUUGUGUUGCCUGCAUUGUAAAAGCUCUGUCCUGUCUCGA